GACGAACGCUGGCGGCGUGCUUAACACAUGCAAGUCGAACGGAAAGGCCCUGCUUUUGUGGGGUGCUCGAGUGGCGAACGAGUGAGUAACACGUGAGUAACCUGCCCUUGACUUUGGGAUAACUUCAGGAAACUGGGGCUAAUACCGGAUAGGAGCUCCUGCUGCAUGGUGGGGGUUGGAAAGUUUCGGCGGUUGGGGAUGGACUCGCGGCUUAUCAGCUUGUUGGUGGGGUAGUGGCUUACCAAGGCUUUGACGGGUAGCCGGCCUGAGAGGGUGACCGGCCACAUUGGGACUGAGAUACGGCCCAGACUCCUACGGGAGGCAGCAGUGGGGAAUAUUGCACAAUGGGCGGAAGCCUGAUGCAGCAACGCCGCGUGCGGGAUGACGGCCUUCGGGUUGUAAACCGCUUUCGCCUGUGACGAAGCGUGAGUGACGGUAAUGGGUAAAGAAGCACCGGCUAACUACGUGCCAGCAGCCGCGGUGAUACGUAGGGUGCGAGCGUUGUCCGGAUUUAUUGGGCGUAAAGGGCUCGUAGGUGGUUGAUCGCGUCGGAAGUGUAAUCUUGGGGCUUAACCCUGAGCGUGCUUUCGAUACGGGUUGACUUGAGGAAGGUAGGGGAGAAUGGAAUUCCUGGUGGAGCGGUGGAAUGCGCAGAUAUCAGGAGGAACACCAGUGGCGAAGGCGGUUCUCUGGGCCUUUCCUGACGCUGAGGAGCGAAAGCGUGGGGAGCGAACAGGCUUAGAUACCCUGGUAGUCCACGCUGUAAACGGUGGGUACUAGGUGUGGGGUCCAUUCCACGGGUUCCGUGCCGUAGCUAACGCUUUAAGUACCCCGCCUGGGGAGUACGGCCGCAAGGCUAAAACUCAAAGGAAUUGACGGGGCCCCGCACAAGCGGCGGAGCAUGCGGAUUAAUUCGAUGCAACGCGUAGAACCUUACCUGGGUUUGACAUGGAUCGGGAGCGCUCAGAGAUGGGUGUGCCUCUUUUGGGGUCGGUUCACAGGUGGUGCAUGGCUGUCGUCAGCUCGUGUCGUGAGAUGUUGGGUUAAGUCCCGCAACGAGCGCAACCCUUGUUCACUGUUGCCAGCACGUUAUGGUGGGGACUCAGUGGAGACCGCCGGGGUCAACUCGGAGGAAGGUGGGGAUGACGUCAAGUCAUCAUGCCCCUUAUGUCCAGGGCUUCACGCAUGCUACAAUGGCUGGUACAGAGAGUGGCGAGCCUGUGAGGGUGAGCGAAUCUCGGAAAGCCGGUCUCAGUUCGGAUUGGGGUCUGCAACUCGACCUCAUGAAGUCGGAGUCGCUAGUAAUCGCAGAUCAGCAACGCUACGGUGAAUACGUUCCCGGG
rnacentral:rRNA from 1 species